UCGACGAUACCGUGGUGAAGCGCGGCGGCAGCUAUCCGCUGCCGCGGGCCGAUCUUGCCCGCAUCGUCGAC
rnacentral:tRNA from 2 species